CACGUAGGGCGCAAGCGUUGUCCGGAAUUACUGGGCGUAAAGGGCGCGUAGGCGGCUGCUCAAGUCGGGUGUGAAAGCCCGGGGCUCAACCCCGGAACGGCACCCGAGACUGGGCGGCUCGAGACCGGGAGAGGUGGGUGGAAUACCCAGUGUAGAGGUGAAAUUCGUAGAUAUUGGGUGGAACACCGGUGGCGAAAGCGGCGUCACUGGCCCGGUUCUGACGCUGAGGCGCGAAAGCGUGGGGAGCAAACAGG
rnacentral:rRNA from 1 species